rnacentral:ncRNA from 1 species
CCACGUGAAGAGGCGGGGAUUACAUAAAGCUACCCUAUGGAGCUUUAAUUUACUAGCUUAAUUUUAUACAAAAUCACCUAUUGGUUUAACCCCUAAAAAUAUAAGCUAAUGAUUUUGGUUGGGGUGACCUCAGAGAAUAAAAAAACCUCCAAAUGAUUUUAACCUAGACAUACAGACAUACAAAUCUAAGUAACAAUAAUCUUAUUGACCCAAAACUUUUUCGAUCAAUGGACCAAGUUAUCCUAGGGAUAACAGCACAAUCCUAUUCAAGAGUCCAUAUNGACAAUUAGGGUUUACGACCUCGAUGUUGGAUCAGGACAUCUCAACGGUAUAGAAGCUAUUAAUGGUUCGUUUGUUCAAUGAUUAAAGUCCUACAUGAUCUGAGUUCACACCGGAGUAAUCCAGGUCGGUUUCUAUAUA